GAUGAACGCUGGCGGCGUGCCUAACACAUGCAAGUCGAGCGGAAACCAGCAAGCAGCAAUGCGCGGUGGUUUUAGCGGCGGACGGGUGAGUAACACGUGAGCAAUCUGCCUUCUGCAGGGGAAUAACAUUGUGAAAACAGUGCUAAUACCGCAUGACAUCCCUUUUGGACAUCCAGAGGGGAUCAAAGGGGCAAUCCGGCAGGAGAUGAGCUCGCGUCCGAUUAGCUAGUUGGCGGGGUAACGGCCCACCAAGGCGACGAUCGGUAGCCGAACUGAGAGGUUGAUCGGCCACAUUGGGACUGAGACACGGCCCAGACUCCUACGGGAGGCAGCAGUGGGGAAUAUUGGGCAAUGGGGGCAACCCUGACCCAGCAACGCCGCGUGAAGGACGAAGGCCUUCGGGUUGUAAACUUCUUUGAUCAGGGACGAACAAUGACGGUACCUGAAGAACAAGCCACGGCUAACUACGUGCCAGCCGCCGCGGUAAGAC
rnacentral:rRNA from 1 species